ACUGUAUCACGUAUGAUUGCCGAAGUUAAGCAACCUUGAGCCUGGUUAGUACCUCGAUGGGUUAUCGCUUGGGAAUACCAGGUGUUGUAA